rnacentral:sRNA from 1 species
AGAGCCCCGGCCUGGGGACUCCGCGGCGAGCCCCGCGAGUGGGGUCCACGUUUGGCGGGGCGCGGCGGGGCGGCGCGGGGAACAGGGCAGGAAAGCAGCUGUUUAAGGAAGACAGAGCAGGCAUUGGAUAAUAUUCUUAUUAAGGAAAGGAAGGGCAAGAAAUCCUGGGGCCUGAAGCUCAGGCAGAUGAAGCAGGAUGUACAGAUGAUGAAUGCGAGUCAGAUGCAGAAAAUGAGCAAAACCACGAUCCUAAUGUUGAAGAGUUUCUACAACAACAAGACACUGCUGUCAUUUUUCCGGAGGCACCUGAAGAGGACCAGAGGCAGGGCACACCAGAAGCCAGUGGUCAUGAUGAAAAUGGAACACCAGAUGCAUUUUCACAAUUACUCACCUGUCCAUAUUGUGAUAGAGGCUAUAAACGCUUUACCUCUCUGAAAGAACACAUUAAAUAUCGUCAUGAAAAGAAUGAAGAUAACUUUAGUUGCUCCCUGUGCAGUUACACCUUUGCAUACAGAACCCAACUUGAACGUCACAUGACAUCACAUAAAUCAGGAAGAGAUCAAAGACAUGUGACGCAGUCUGGGUGUAAUCGUAAAUUCAAGUGCACUGAGUGUGGAAAAGCUUUCAAAUACAAACAUCACCUAAAAGAGCACUUAAGAAUUCACAGUGGAGAGAAGCCAUAUGAAUGCCCAAACUGCAAGAAACGCUUUUCCCAUUCUGGCUCCUAUAGUUCACACAUAAGCAGUAAGAAAUGUAUCAGCUUGAUACCUGUGAAUGGGCGACCAAGAACAGGACUCAAGACAUCUCAGUGUUCUUCACCGUCUCUUUCAGCAUCACCAGGCAGUCCCACACGACCACAGAUACGGCAAAAGAUAGAGAAUAAACCCCUUCAAGAACAACUUUCUGUUAACCAAAUUAAAACUGAACCUGUGGAUUAUGAAUUCAAACCCAUAGUGGUUGCUUCAGGAAUCAACUGUUCAACCCCUUUACAAAAUGGGGUUUUCACUGGUGGUGGCCCAUUACAGGCAACCAGUUCUCCUCAGGGCGUGGUGCAAGCUGUUGUUCUGCCAACAGUUGGUUUGGUGUCUCCCAUAAGUAUCAAUUUAAGUGAUAUUCAGAAUGUACUUAAAGUGGCGGUAGAUGGUAAUGUAAUAAGGCAAGUGUUGGAGAAUAAUCAAGCCAAUCUUGCAUCCAAAGAACAAGAAACAAUCAAUGCUUCACCCAUACAACAAGGUGGCCAUUCUGUUAUUUCAGCCAUCAGUCUUCCUUUGGUUGAUCAAGAUGGAACAACCAAAAUUAUCAUCAACUACAGUCUUGAGCAGCCUAGCCAACUUCAAGUUGUUCCUCAAAAUUUA